rnacentral:rRNA from 1 species
GCAUAUCAAUAAGCGGAGUAGGCAUUGCCUCAGUACGGCGAGUGAAGCGGCAAAAGCUCAAAUUUGAAAUCUGGCACCUUCGGUGUCCGAGUUGUAAUUUGAAGAAGGUAACUUUGGAGUUGGCUCUUGUCUAUGUUCCUUGGAACAGGACGUCACAGAGGGUGAAAAUCCCGUGCGAUGAAAUGUCUCAUCAAUGUAAUGUUGUCCACAAGGGUUCUAUGUCGCAGCUUUCCCGAAGGCAGGAACUCUUCAAAUGUCCUGCCCUCCUUCUGCCCCGGGGCGCCCCCUGCCAACCCCUGCAGCCUCCCCGCGGAGCUGGCGUUUCUGCGCAGCCGGACCUCUGCCUGGCCCCCCUCUAGUGCCCUGCAAGGGCCGGGGCUUCUCCCACCCGGCAGGGCCGGGCUCCGGGUCCGAAGAAUGCCCUGCGCGUCCAGGCCCUCCGAGGCCUUCUCUCUGCGUUUGCUCAGGGGCUUCCUCGACAGACCCCUCCCGGCCUCCGGCAGGCUGUAUCGUAAGAAGGCAGCUCCUCACCCAUACAGACGAUUACCGGACCCCUCGCUCCCUUCGAUGAGAGUCUGGGAUGUUCCAAAAAGAAAAAUGGAUCUCCACAGGGAUUGAACUCCGGCGCUAAUCAUCUUUUCCGUUUUCUUG